rnacentral:tRNA from 1 species
UUUAAACGAAGCUUUAUAUAGCACUUGACUGUUAAUCAAGAGAAGCCUGUUAAAACAUCGGGUCGUUUGAAU